AGAUGAGUGUGGUGUAGUGGUUUGAACAUUGGAGUACGACUCUGGAGACCAGGGUUCAAAUCCCUGCUCAGCCA
rnacentral:tRNA from 1 species